UACAGAGGUCCCGAGCGUUGUUCGGAUUCAUUGGGCGUAAAUGGUGCGUAGGCGGCGCGGUAAGUCGGGUGUGAAAUCUUGGAGCUUAACUCCGAAACUGCAUUCGAUACUGCCGUGCUUGAGGACUGGAGAGGAGACUGGAAUUUACGGUGUAGCGGUGAAAUGCGUAGAUAUCGUAAGGAAGACCAGUGGCGAAGGCGGGUCUCUGGACAGUUCCUGACGCUGAGGCACGAAGGCCAGGGGAGCAAACGGG
rnacentral:rRNA from 1 species